UUCCGCGCUGGCCCCGUGUAUAAGUCUCCUGGAAGGSAGCGUCGUAGAGGGUGAGAAUCCCGUCUUUGACACGGACUACCAGUGCUAUGUGAUGCGCUCUCGACGAGUCGAGUUGUUUGGGAAUGCAGCUCAAAACGGGUGGUAAACUCCAUCUAAAGCUAAAUACAGGCGAGAGACCGAUAGCGAACAAGUACCGUGAGGGAAAGAUGAAAAGAACUUUGGAAAGAGAGUUAAACAGUACGUGAAAUUGCUGAAAGGGAAACGCUUGAUGUCAGUCGCGUUGGCUGGGGAUCAACCUUGCUUCUCGCUGGGUGUACUUCCCGGUCGACGGGUCAGCAUCAGUUUCAGUCACCGUACAAGGGUGAGAGGAACGUGGCACUCCUCGGAGUGUGUUAUAGCCUUUCCUCGUAUGCGGUGGUCGGGACUGAGGUGCUCAGCACGGCUUCUUGCUUGUGCUCAGGAUGCUGGCAUAAUGGCCUUAAGCGACCCGUCUGGAAAACACGGACCAU
rnacentral:rRNA from 1 species